rnacentral:rRNA from 1 species
UGGGGAAUAUUGGACAAUGGGCGAAAGCCUGAUCCAGCCAUACCGCGUGUGUGAAGAAGGCCUUCGGGUUGUAAAGCACUUUAAGUAAGGAAGAAAAGUAUAUUGCUAAUACCUAUAUACCGUGACAUUACUUACAGAAUAAGGACCGGCUAAUUCCGUGCCAGCAGCCGCGGUAAUACGGAAGGUCCAAGCGUUAAUCGGAAUUACUGGGCGUAAAGCGCGCGUAGGUGGUUUAUUAAGUUGGGUGUGAAAGCCCCGGGCUCAACCUGGGAACUGCAUCCAAAACUGAUUCACUAGAGUACGAAAGAGGGAGGUAGAAUUCACAGUGUAGCGGUGGAAUGCGUAGAUAUUGUGAAGAAUACCAAUGGCGAAGGCAGCCUCCUGGUUCUGUACUGACACUGAGGUGCGAAAGCGUGGGUAGCGAACAGG